rnacentral:ribozyme from 12 species
AUGAUGAAUAGGAAGAGAUGGAAUAAGUCCCAUUUCUUCCUCUUGUUCCCUUUCUUCUUCUUUUUUCCUUUCUUCUUCUUUUUCCUUUCCUUCUUCUUUUUCCU